GUGCCAGCCGCCGCGGUAAGACGGAAGGUGCAAGCGUUGCUCGGAAUCAUUGGGCGUAAAGGGUGCGUAGGCGGCUUGGUGGGUCUGGUGUGAAAGCCCCGGGCUUAGCCCGGGAAGGGCGCUAGAAACUGCCGAGCUCGAGUGCCGGAGGGGAGAGUGGAAUUCCUGGUGUAGCGGUGAAAUGCGUAGAGAUCAGGAGGAAUACCGGUGGCGAAAGCGACUCUCUGGACGGCAACUGACGCUGAGGCACGAAAGCGUGGGGAGCAAACAGGAUUAGAAACCCUGGUAGUCC
rnacentral:rRNA from 1 species